rnacentral:lncRNA from 1 species
AUGGGGAAUUGGUUAGUCAUUGAUAGAACUGCUUUAAAAACAAUUCAGUGGUCAUAUUUUUGAGUGAUUUUUCAGAAAAUGUAGAAUUCAUUUUGUAGUAAAGUAGUUUAUUUUUUUUAAUUUCAAGUGUUGUAAUUUAAAACUUAAGUUGUGUUUUUAAACAGCAACAAAACUGUAUUGUAUUUUUGCUGUAAUUAACUGUAUAAUGUAAACCUAAUUAUUUUAUCAUGGUUUAAAUUUUGCAUAUUUGCUUUAUCUUAUGCUGCUGAUUUUUUUACUGAAUUUGUAAAAUUUUUGUUUAUCAAAGCAACUAUUAUGUGGUGACUUGCAUAUAUCAUGAAUUAUUUAAGAUGUUUAUAAGUUUUUUAUUAGAAUUUAUUUCAGAUGUUUGUUCAUGAUGCUAUCCUUCAGGGUUAUGUGCUUAUCAAUGAAAUAACCCCAGAGGAAUAAGGGAAAAUAACCUGUAGCCAGUUAUAUUCAGGAAUAACUACUGUAAAUGAUGAACGCAUCAAGAAACCUCCAAUAUUUGCUACUUGCCAAUCCCAACUUAGUUAAAACAAUUGGUAGGCAACCUUACCUAAAUUUUAGCAAACACCUUAUCUAAUGGCAGAAUAACUCAGAGCAUGUCUUUAAAGAUGCUGGGCACAUCCUUCUCCAUUUUGAAUCUCCUACACCAACCCAAGAAAAACUUAAACUAAGGAAUGUGGUAUAUUCUGAUCAUCUGUGGCAUGCUUAAAGCUUUUGAUCACACAAAGUUAAGAGGACACUUCAUGAAUCUACAUUUCCGUGGAGAUCAACAGAUGCUUCCCCUGUCCUGGCUACGAGCCUGCUUCUGUAGACACUGAGUUAAUCUCCUCAGGCUGUAGGUCCUGGCAUUGGCCACGAGCCUGGACUUUCCCUGUUGGACAGCUUCUGGCCUCUGGCCUUUCCCAGUUCCUGUUCCUUAGCGGGUCAGUCUGUUGAGCACCAGUUUGUGGUGUUUCUGGCCAUUUGAUUCUACCUGUAGCAUUAUCCUGUUUCUACUAGCUGUCAGGAGGUUCCAAAGCCUACUUAAACUUGUGUAGGUGACAUUUAAAUGAGCAAUAUGCCGUUCAUCUGAAAAUAGUAGCACACAGCCAUAUGUAGGAUGUCAUUUUCUAAGGACUGUUUCUUCACAGUGAGCAGAGCAGGCAUAGUGGUGGUUCUUUCAUCUGAGUCUUUGGUUUUUUAUAUCUGAUUUCCAGUAUGGACGUUGAGUAGUGUAAGAAUGGUGCUGCUCCUGACAAGUGUGUGUUAACUGUUUACAUUUUAUAUCUGCAGAAUCCUUUCUCUGUAACUGAAUUUUCCUAAGUAAAAUGUCAUCAAGGUCUCAUUAUUUCUGAAAUGAUGUCUAUAAUGCCCAGGCACCUUUGGUAUUAUCUGGAACAAGAGGGAUUUCAUGUAAUGAACUGGGAAAUGCAUACUUCAUGAGCUGCAAGGUUGUAGGAAGGAGCCCGGAGCCCCUUGGAGCUCACAAUCAGCAGGAGUAAGAGCGGGCACAGCUUGGCAGAUUUCUGAAAGGUUGCUUAGCAGGUUCUUUUGUUUUGGUUUUUGGAUUUUUCUUCUUUUGGUUGCUUUUUAAAAACAUUUAGUGUACAAUUACUUUCAAGUAAGCUAUUUUAAGUCUUGUUAAUGUGCAAUACUUAAGAUUAAGAUAUUACCUUUUUAAACAUAGCAAGUUUAUCAAGAUUUCUAGCGUCCCAUCUUUUAGUGAUUCCUUUUCUAUAUGUACAACAUGGUGCAUUUAUUUUAUUAGACAAGUAUGAAUUUGAGACUGUUACGCCUCUUGGUUCUAGAAAUACAAGGUUGAAGUCAGGAUUUUAGCAGAAAUUGGAGCAUGAGUGUGUUCUUAUUUUAUAUUAGUUUUGCAUCUAACUGGUUUUGGUUUUGCCGUGAUAAAAUGUGUCACUAUUGCACUUACCAGCUGAUAUGCUGUAGUUAGUUUUCUGUGUUUGUGUUUGAUUGCUGAGAAGCCAUCUUCUUCAUUCAGAUUUCGGGUAAGUAAGGAAUACUAGUUGUUUGAUUGUCUCAUCUGUUGUAAUUGCCAGCUCCCACUUGCCAGCAAUCAUGUUUCAGUUAAAUUUAAAAAAAAAAAAAACAACAAGCUCUCAAUGCUUAAUGUAAGCUGAAAUACCUAACAGAGUAUACCUAAAAGCAAGGUCUGUUUGUUAAACAUGUGCCCAACACAUUAAGAUCCACUGUACACACACACACACACACACAAAACACACCACUGUGUUUAAAUCUUUUAACAUAAAUCCUACUGGUACUUUUAGAGUCUUAAAGCAUCUUAAGUAUUUUUUUAAGAAAUUACAAAUAACAUUUCUGUCUAUCAGUACUUAUUAAGCCACCCUAUAAUUUGACUUUUCAAUUAUAUAUACUUAUGAUACCCAUUGUCUUACUGUCUAAAAGUUGUUUAGCUGAGAAUUAGCAUUCCACUUCAUGGUUUAGGAAAGAGAGCCUUAUUCUUCCUACAUGUCUUCCUGGUUACAGGUCUCGUACCCACUAAUACAUAGUGACCAUCUGUAAGAUGAGCAUGUUGUUGGGAUUGCUUUGUUAUAGAGCAUCUCACUCUUUAAUGCUAUUUGCUAGUGGUUUUUACUGUGUCAUGCCAUGCUGCUGAUUGCCAAAUCUCAGAAGAGUGCACACCAGAAGCAAAGGCCCAGUGUGUUCACACCUGGCUAGUAAGAGAAGCAGUAGUCCCCACCAAUACAGAGAAGCUGGUUGUGUACAAAGCUUGCCUGUCAGCCUUAUCCCUCAGUUCUGAGCUCAUCUCACUUUGUUACCCUAAGACGUGGAGGUAGAAAAGACACUUGACAGGAUAGGAUGAGCAGUAGGCAAGGGAAGCUGUUUCCUGAGUUACAAAAAGAACUUGGUUUACAUUAUUGGCCAGUUUCUGCCGCACACAUGAAGACAUCAUCAGUGUUGCCUCAGCGCUAGCCUGCACGGCAUUUUGAGAUUGAAAAAAAAAACCAACAACAUAGUAUAUUUUCAGAAAUACUGUUGUAGUUUGUGAGUGUUGUUCAUUAGUCACUCAUUAGUGUAGAGUGGAUGCAUGAUGCCCCAUGACCCCAGUAAGUCUUACCAGUGAGUAGAAUACCCAGCACCGUCUCUCACCCGUAGCCCUCUUCAGCAUUGCCUCGUGGCUUGUUGCAUUCUAGUGUGCAUAUUCUAGUGUGCAUUGUGUUUCUACUGAUCUCUUGGGUGUUUCCUGUGAACCACAGGAGGCACAUUUGUCCUAAUCGCACGAAAGAAAGAUGAAAGAGAUAAGGGCAUUGAAGCAGAAAUGUGUGGUUUGGGGUAAGAUAGGAAAAUUGUGUCCUAAUUAAUUUCAAAGUAACUGCUCUUAGGCAAAUUGCUUUUAAGGGGAGUCUAGUAAGCAACUUUCUGGGCACUUCUGGUUUAGAUUCUCUUCAUUACUGAAACUCCUGAGAAAUAUUACCUGUGGAUUAGUUUUGCACAAUGUCCUAUUCUCACAAUGACUUAAAAUUAAACUAGGUUUUUAUUG